rnacentral:rRNA from 1 species
AAUAGAUACCCUGGUAGUCCUAGCCCUAAACGAUGAAUGCUUGGUGUGGCGGGUAUCGAUCCCUGCCGUGCCGAAGCUAACGCAUUAAGCAUUCCGCCUGGGGAGUACGGUCGCAAGGCUGAAACUCGAAAGGAAUUGACGGGGGCCCGCACAAGCGGUGGAGCAUGUGGUUCAAUUCGACGCAACGCGAAGAACCUUACCUGGGCUCGAAAUGCAGAUGACAUCCGGCGAAAGUCGGCUCCCGCAAGGGCGUCUGUAUAGGUGCUGCAUGGCUGUCGUCAGCUCGUGUCGUGAGAUGUUGGGUUAAGUCCCGCAACGAGCGCAACCCUCGUCCUCUGUUGCCAUCAGGUCAAGCUGGGCACUCUGAGGAGACUGCCGGUGAUAAACCGGAGGAAGGUGGGGAUGACGUCAAGUCAGCAUGGCCUUUAUGUCCAGGGCCACACACGUGCUACAAUGGCGGAUACAAAGCGCUGCAAGCCCGCGAGGGUGAGCCAAUCGCAUAAACG